rnacentral:rRNA from 1 species
UACGUAGGGGGCGAGCGUUGUCCGGAUUCAUUGGGCGUAAAGCGCGCGUAGGCGGCUUGGCAAGUCGGCCGUGAAAUCUCCAGGCUCAACUUGGAGGGGUCGGGCGAGACUGCUGGGCUCGAGGUGGGCAGAGGGCAGUGGAAUUCCGGGUGUAGUGGUGGAAUGCGUAGAGAUCCGGAGGAACACCAGUGGCGAAGGCGGCUGCCUGGGCCUGGCCUGACGCUGAGGCGCGAAAGCGUGGGGAGCGAGUCCGG